rnacentral:pre_miRNA from 1 species
GCUUUGCACCUUACAGACUAACCAAAGUAGACAUAUUGGUUAAUCUAUAGGUGCAAAUCGA